GACAGAGGUCCCGAGCGUUAGGCGGAAUCACUGGGCUUAAAGCGUGUGUAGGCGGAGUUCUAAGUACCUUGUGAAAUCCCACGGCUCAACCGUGGAACUGCUUGGUAUACUGGUUCUCUUGAGCCACCUAGGGGCAACCGGAACAAACGGUGGAGCGGUGAAAUGCGUAGAUAUCGGGUGGAACGCCAAUGGUGAAAACAGGUUGCUGGGGGUGUGCUGACGCUGAGACACGAAAGCCAGGGGAGCAAACGGG
rnacentral:rRNA from 1 species